GGAUCUCUGGAGAUACAGUGCAUACAAAUUCUAUGUUUGGUCUUUCGGGUGAGCAAAUUAAUUCAUUUAGCUUUUCAGCAGGAAUCUCUGGGAAAGAAAAUAAGCCAAUAAAUUUUAACAGUGAGUUUGUAGUCUCGAGUGAAUUGCCGCAGGAUCGUCCAAGUAGUGACACGGAGAGGGAUAAUAUACCCUUCCCAUUAUUUACCACAGAGAUUUUUGGUUCACG
rnacentral:misc_RNA from 1 species